UGGCGGACGGGUGAGUAAUGUCUGGGAAACUGCCUGAUGGAGGGGGGAUAACUACUGGAAACGGUAGCUAAUACCGCAUAAUGUCGCAAGACCAAAGAGGGGGACCUUCGGGCCUCUUGCCAUCGGAUGUGCCCAGAUGGGAUUAGCUAGUAGGUGGGGUAACGGCUCACCUAGGCGACGAUCCCUAGCUGGUCUGAGAGGAUGACCAGCCACACUGGAACUGAGACACGGUCCAGACUCCUACGGGAGGCAGCAUG
rnacentral:rRNA from 1 species